rnacentral:lncRNA from 1 species
UGUAUCUUCACAGAGUAUUUGCAUCCAAAGAAUAACAGAUCUGUGAAUAAAGAGAUUGUCAGCUUUCCUUUAUUAGCUACAGAUACUCAUAAAGUUGUAGAUUUGUGGGAACCUGUAUUUUCCGUAUAAUGACUAGUCCUGUGUUUUUGUUCCAAAAUGAUGUGUGAGGUGAUGCCCACCAUCAGUGAAGAAGGCCCUUCAGGAGGAAGUGAAAACCAUGGAUCUGGCUGCCCUUCACAACCAGAUGCAGAUUCCCAUUUUGAACAGCACAUGAUGUCCAUGCUAGAAGAAACAGACAUUGCUCAGAGCACACUGAUAGAGACUCAAGAAACAUUGGCGUUGACCCAGGGGAAAUUACUCGAGGUUGGUCAUGAGAGAGAUUCGUUGCAGAGACAACUCAAUACUGCGCUUCCACAGGAGUCUUCAACGCUUGCAAAAGAGCUCAACAUUUGCAGGGAACAGCUGCUUGAGAAGGAAAAAGAAAUUGCUGAACUGAAAGCAGAAAGGAGCAACAUGAGGCUGUUCCUGGAACAUCUGGAGUUCCUUGUCUCCAGGCAUGAACGCUCUCUCGAAACGACUGUGAUGAAGCGGCAGGCGCGGUGUCCUGCAGGAGUGUCCACAGAGAUGGAAGUGCUAAAAGCACUGACAUUCUUAUUUGACCACCACAAGACCCUGGACGAAAAGGUGCGAGAGCAAUUACGUGUAGCACUGCAAAGGUGCAGCUUGCUGGAAGAGGAACUGGGCGCUACGCACAAGGAGGUAAUUGUGGGACAUCAUCCUAGCCCUGAAAAGGGAAAAUUAUUUUAUUUUAAUCUCUUAAAAAACAGUGUGAAGCCUGUAAUACUAUUGGAUUAGAUUUUUAUUUCAGAUUGCAAGAAUCUCUAAAUUUGUUGUCAAGCAGUCAGUACAUUCUGUUUCUAGUAAUCUGGUUCUGCUAUGGAUGGUCAGCUUUGGCAUGUACUGUCUUUUUUAUACUAUGUUCAGCACUGUAGAAUUAUGUUUUUCCAAAUGGAAUUUUGCUGUCUUUACUCAUUACUCUUCCAUAAGUUAUUGUAGUCUCAUACUCAGUUUUUGAUUGUAGCUAAUGACUCUUAAAAAACAGAAUGAUCAGAAAAAAUCACCAAGAGAUGGAGUGCUUGACCAUGAAGAAGAAGAAACACCAAGCACUAGUGGAAAGGUAAGUCCUUGAGAUCUCUCUUUGUUCUGUUGCUGAUUUCUUAUAUUUUGUGGUUCGUGUGUGAUGCUGUUUGGAUGCUGUUGCUGGAAUGGCCUGCUUCCAGCUAAAGUGAUUGUUGAGAGUCCUAUCAUCCAACAGAUGGCAUAAAUCCAUUUUGAUAGUCCCUAUGUUCAAAAGUAUUUUAUUUGGUAGUACACUAAGGUUAUUUAAGAGUGUCCAUUUUACCCAUCAGAGAUCUUCUGCUGGCUCCUUAAGCCAUGAGGAAGACCUUGCCAAAAUAAUUGUGCUCCAAGAAGUCAUACACAAACAUUCAAAAGAGCAG